rnacentral:rRNA from 1 species
CCCUUAGAUGUUCUGGGCCGCACGCGUGCUACACUGAACGGUUCAAUGGGUGAGGUAGUGCGAAAGCAUGACCCAAUCUCAAAAUCCGUUCGUGCUGGGGAUAGAAGCUUGCAAUUCUCCUUCUUGAACGAGGAAUACCUUGUAAGCGCGAGUCAUCAUCUCGCGCUGAAUACGUCCCUGCCCUUUGUACACACCGCCCGUCGCUCCUACCGAUUGAGUGUGUUGGUGAGGAGUUCGGAUUGGCUCUUAGUGGUGGUUCGCCACCACCUAGAGCUGAGAAGUUCUCCAAACCGCCCCACUUAGAGGAAGGAGAAGUCGUAACA